CCUGUUGCAAACCACAGCCAGCCGAUUAUGUAUGACUUGUCUCUUUGGGGACUAUGGACAUAAACGCGCUCGUAAUAAGCGGAUCGGACCCGGGGGCGGUACCCGGCGACUCCACCAUAUUACCACCGGCGGCAUCCUUCAUUUGGGGAGGUCAUUCGGGAUUGUGGGGUCGAAAUAGGAUCGACGAACGUCUAAAGGGGUUUGCUUUGUUUCGGUGAGUUACCACCGUUAUCGGUACAUUUAAGCUAGUUGCAAAUGACAACAAAGCUCCAGUAGCACUCGCAGCGUAAGCAGCGCGUAAUACUGAACUCUAAGUCCUAAGGCCUAGCAGCUUUAGGCGGGGUUCGCAGGUACCUGGCAACAGAAACCUGCACU
rfam:Nereida ignava strain CECT 5292 genome assembly, contig: contig000003